rnacentral:rRNA from 1 species
UACGGAGGUGGCAGGCGUUACUCGGAUUGAUUGGGUGUAAAGGGUGUGUAGGUGGCCUACUAAGUCGAAUGUGAAAUACCUUGGCUCAACCAAGGAACUGCAUUCGAAACUGAUUGGCUUGAGCGUCAGAGAGGAAAAUGGAAUUCACGGUGUAACAGUGAAAUGUGUAGAUAUCGUGAGGAACACCAGUGGCGAAGGCGAUUUUCUGGCUGACUGCUGACACUGAAACACGAGAGCUAGGGGAGCAAACAGG